CUACGGGUCGCAGCAGUGAGGAAUUUUGCGCAAUGGGCGAAAGCCUGACGCAGCAACGCCGCGUGAGUGAUGAAGGCCUUCGGGUCGUAAAGCUCUGUCAAGUGGGAAGAACCUAUGUAAUGUUAAUAUCAUUAUAUACUGACGGUACCACUGAAGGAAGCACCGGCUAACUCCGUGCCAGCAGCCGCGGUAAUACGGGGGGUGCAAGCGUUAUUCGGAAUCAUUGGGCGUAAAGGGCACGUAGGCGGCCUGGUAAGUCAGAUGUGAAAGCCCGGGGCUUAACCCCGGAAGUGCAUUUGGUACUGUCAGGCUUGAGUAUGGGAGAGGGAAGUGGAAUUCCUGGUGUAGAGGUGAAAUUCGUAGAUAUCAGGAGGAACACCGGUGGCGAAGGCGACUUCCUGGACCAAUACUGACGCUGAGGUGCGAAGGCGUGGGUAGCAAACAGGAUUAGAUACCCGAGUAGUC
rnacentral:rRNA from 1 species